ACCCCAUGGUGGGGUAAUGGUAUGGGCAGGCAUGAACUAUUGACUACACACAUUUAUUUUAUCAAUGGCAAUUUGAAUGCACAAAAAUACUGUAAUGAUAUCCGGAGGCCCAUUUUAAGGUGUUUGUGACUAACAGAUGCAUACCUGUAUUCCCAGUCAUGUGAAAUCCAUAGAUUAAGGCCUCAUAUGAAUUGUAACUCAGUAAAAUCAAUGAAAUUGUUGCAUGUUGUGUUUUAUAUUUUUGUUCAGAAUGUCAGUUGGAGAUUUUGAGUGCAGUAUUUGGUCAUUUACAUGCAUAUGUUUAUACGUGUAUUUUGUUUAAUACAGUAUACGAGGAGAUCUAUAUGUCAGGGUGAGAGGUGAUGGUGUGUGUAUAGAGUAGAUCUAUAUGUCAGGGUGAGAGGUGAUGGUGUGUAUAUGUAGAGUACAUCUAUAUGUCAGGGUGAGAGGUGAUAGUGAUAGUGUGUGUAUAUGUAGAGUACAUCUAUAUGUCAGGGUGAGAGGUGAUAGUGUGUGUGUGUAUAUGUAGAGUACAUCUAUAUGUCAGGGUGAGAGGUGAUGGUGUGUGUAUAGAGUACAUCUAUAUGUGAUGGCGUGUGUAUAUGUAGAGUACAUCUAUAUGUCAGGGUGAAAGGUGAUGGUGUGUAUAUGUAGAGUAGAUCUAUAUGUCAGGGUGAGAGGUCGCCAGACAGACGCACGGACCGACAAACAGGGCUGACAGACAUCAGCCUCUGAAAGCCCUCGCGGGUCUAGCCUGCGACCCCUCUCACUCAUUACGUGCUCUGUGA
ensembl:lncRNA